GCAGUGGUGGUUCAGUGGCAGAAUUCUUGCCUUCCAUGCAGGAGACCCAGGUUCAAUUCCUGGCCAGUGCA
rnacentral:tRNA from 1 species